GGCGGUAUUUCAGAAGCUUUAGUAGAAAAUAAUCCCAUUUGUCACCAUAGUAGAUAUAAAGCUCACUGAAAGCAUCUUCCUACUCUUUUCCCUGGUGAACACCAUUGAGCGCAAAGGCUUUUAUUUUCUGGGCCCCGACCUUUAUCCACCAUCUCUCAUUAGGAUUCUAUGCACUUGUCCCUUGAUUUCUGGGACAGUGAAGCCCACAGGCAAAUGGGACUGGAGGGUGUGGAGGAUGCAAAGAAAGGUAAACUUUCUAGGAUGUGAGCAGGGGGAGGCUGGGAGAUGAAAGGAGGCAGGACAAGGCCCAAGACAGCCUUCGCAGAGAAGGCCUGACUGCUGUUUUGGAGAGGAGAGGGAGGGAAAAGGGCUUAACGCUUAUUUGUGCCUCAAUUCCAAAAGGCACAUUUAAGUCUGGGAUAUACAGAGGGUGUGUGGGUGGACGACUCAGAUGCAUCCCUUUGCUAUUCUUAUACUCUGUUCCUUUCAAGGUGUUUCUUGAAGAAUUCAGAAAAAGCAGAAGUUAUGCUCAAGCUGUGACAACAAAGUGGUAGACAUGAUUGACCUGUUAAAAGUUCAGUUUGGCCAAUGUCAUGUGGUACCUUUUUUUUUUGUUUGUUUUUAAUACUUUGGGCCUGGACCCAGUCUUUGGUCUGAAUAUCCUCUGUUGUCUUAGCUUAGUCCUUUAAAAAAGGGCAUGAAAACAUGUGAGUUUUCAAUCCUUCUUCCAGGGCACUGGACAAGGAGUCCAGUGUUGAAAUGUAUUAAUGUUUGAGCACUGAUUGUCACUGGAAAACCUUUAACCUACUGAGGUGUGCGUGCGUGUGUGCGCUUGUGUGUGUUUGUGUAUGAACCUGUAGUGAUUUCUAGGUGAUGUUGGAUGUUUUGUCCCUAGAAAUACAUAAGACUUAGCAGUAAAGAAUGAUAAAUGAUGUUUUUGGCUUAAUCUGUAUAUUCAGCAAAUUCAUACACAGAGGCUAAAACGUACACAUUUAAAAUAUAUACUAUUUUGAACUACUCAUGGGACAUUUAUAGAAUAUAAAGCAACAUGGUUUUGUUCUUAGAGUUCCUUCUCCAGCACAAGAGUUUCAUUUUUUAGCUAAUUGUUAAAGCUAUGUUAUUACAUUUUUAACUGUAUUUUCUAAUUUUAUUCUGUUAGAGAAGGGUUUCUGUAUAACUCAUGAAUGCUUGGCCAUAAUGUAACUAUUCCUUCCUGAGUAAUUUUUAUUGCAAAAAAAAAAAAAAUCACUCCUCUAAAUGCAAAUUUCUCCAAGCCUUGUUUCCUCACUUAGGCUUCCAAACAGAGGCUGGAGAUGGGGCUUUCCGUGGCUCAUGGCAGCAUGCAUGCAGUCAACACAAGAAUCUGAAAAGCAGCCGAGGCCCGUCUUCCCUUCAUGCCUCCUCAUGUAUUAUUAAAGCCAGCAAAGCUUCCUGGAUUGCUGAACAAAGGUGACCAUGCUCCACCAAUGAAUUCAAUCCUCAGGCUUCUGAAUGUUCGCCAGUGCUCUGUGUCGCCUGCACAUGGUAGAUAUAAUUGGCAAACUGAAUGAAGAAUUUCCCAUUCUUACUAGGCGGGAUUCCAGAUAGAAGAUAAGAAUAGGCUGAAUAGCUAAGAUGGCAUGUGAAAGGGGCUCUGCUUUUCGUGUAGCACUUAUUAUGAAGAUGCAAAUUUCCUCUCAACCCGAAGCGAUGUUUGUGGCUGCCCAGCAGUCAUUCCUUUAGCUGUUACCAAUUUGUGUCCCCAGUGUCUUAGUUGUCAAUAUUUUCCAACUUCAUUUUGAGAUGAUAUAAUAACAUUUUCUCAGAAUUCUCUAUAGUCAUAUAUUGACAAAUGUGUGUCAAUCACAUCAAAUCAUAUCCUCAGUGUGAUACCAUUUAUAUAUUCAAAACGCCAUAUCCUAGGAUUUGUUCUACUUCUCGUUCACUUCACUGAAGCCUAAAUUAGUGGAACUGAAUAGACUCAUUGAUUCGGACUCACGUUUUGAUUAGGUAAUAUCCCAUAAAGUGUCAUUAAAUAUCUAUGCCUCAUUCUGGCUAGUUGCUAUGUAGCCAUUUUGAAUACGUAUCUGGAUAAUAUGUUUGCAUGUGUUCACACAGGUUAUUUUGUAUAUUUCAUUCACUAAGUGGUAUAUGCUAUGCAUAUAUGCCCUAAAAAUAGUCAUUAAGCUUUUAAAAGGAAAAUAAAUUGAUUUUCAAUCUCUAAAUUUCUUCCGUUGGUAUUGCUAGAUACUCUGUUUUCCUUCUAGAAAUGGUCAAUGCAUCAAAAGAAAAAGAAAAAGUCAUAAUUAUAGGACCCUAUAUAAGUUUUCCACACCUUAGUUUUUUCACCAUAACCAUAUGUGAAACCUGACAAUGCAUAUCAAGUUGACAACUAGAUUUACUAUUGGUGCGGUUGCUAAAUUUUAAUGUUAUUAGCUUAAAAUCAAACAUAAAUUAGAAUACAGUGGACACAGAAGUGCUGUUCAUGCAUUCUUGAACUCACAGCUCAUUCAAGACCACAUGUGUUGCCUGCCAACUAUUUGCAAAGCACUUCACUAAACCUGCAGAAAACACCCAGUUAGACAGGUCAUCCUCUGUUAUCCAGGACCUCUCAGCCAAAGGUGAGAUACUUAGCUUGCUACUUAGCAUGUUUAGUUUCUUUCUACUUCAUCUGUUCCCCGCUUCCCCAUAAGUCUGGGUUCCCUCUUUCUGUUUCCUUAAGCAUGUUCCUUUCUCAUCCUCAGUGUGGCUCUGUACCCACGGGUGGAUGUGUCCUCUCUCCUUUGCCUCUAUCUUCCUUUACUUUUUCCUAGCUUCUUUUCUCUCAUUCCUUCUAGCUCUCCAGCCACCAUCUUUUCCUUCUGUCCUCUUCUUCCCGCAUUCUACACCCUCAAUCUUCAGAAACACAUCAUUUCCCCAUCUUUAAUCAUAAAUUAAUUAAAUCACUGCCUAUUAAUGGAUAUGUCAGUUUUGUCUUAAACAAAUAAUCUUGAAUAUAUAUUGUUUCACAGGUGUGAGUUUAGGGUAAAUUUCCAAAAGUGGAGAUGCUUGAUAAAAGAUUAUGUGCAUUUCUAAUAAGAAACACAUCCCAUUAUUGACUUAAAUGGAGGCUAUAACAAAUUUAAUGAGUAUGAGAAAUUUACAUUCUCAUAUGCACAAUACAAGAGUAGCUGUUUCCCCACAGUUUAGUCAAGAGACUGUAUAAGCAAAUGUAAAUUGUCAGCCCUGUGAGUGAAAAAUUGUAUCACAGUGUAUUAUCCACUUUCUCUAACAUACCAUAAGAACUUCCUACUCUUUUGAAUUCUUUUCCUUAGUCUAAAAACACACUCAGUCUUUCUUUACUCUUUUUUUAAAUUUUCUUUUUAGGGACGCACCAGUGGCACAUGGAGGUUCCCAGGCUAGGGGUCAAAUCAGAGCUGCAGCUGCCUGCCUACACCACAGCUCACGGCACAAAGCCUCAUUAAGCCUUCAGUUGUUGAGAAAUGAAUGAGGAAACAAUAACUGAAUAUUUAGUACUCUAGGGAACGAUCAUUUGGUCUCUUCCAGAAAACUGAAAACAUGAUCUGGAAAUACUGGAAAUACAUGCAGGAAAGAUCUCGUGUAGGAUUUAUUGAACUGGUUGGUUUGGAGAGCCACCUGGUGGUUAAGAGAAAAUGUGAGGAAAGACGGAACUUGCACUGAGCUUGAAUUCCACCACGUGAGUGGUGUACUACUUUACUUCAAACCACUAGGCCCGGAACUGUUAGGACCUGACUAGAUCCAUACAGGAUUCUACUCUUACAACUUUUCUCUCGUACAGCAUAUUUGCUCUUCCUUAUACAUUUUCAGAAAAACCUUUACUUUCCUUUGGGUUUAUUUAAUUUACCAACCUGGCAGUAGAUACGCAGAACUGGGAGAAAUGCAUGAGAGGGAGGCACGUAAAAAGAAAACAAAAAUGAUGAUUGAGCUUAUUCCAUCAGAGGAUUAAAGAUGGGGGUGACAAUGGCACACAUAGCUGCUACCAGCCUACUUCCUGUCCUUGUUUCCCAUCUUCCUACCGUCUGAUGUGGUUUCAGAAUUAACUAUUGCAUAAAACAUGCAGCUUCUCCAUGUAUGCAAGAAAUAGGUUUAGCAUUGCCCAGAAAAAAAAGGGAGUUAGAAGAUCUAAAAGGAUUGCUUUUAAGAUUAAAGAAUGAAGAGCUAAUAAACAAAUAAAGAGGCUCUUACCACAUCUCACUAAAAAAAACCCCCAAAAAAACCAAAACCUCAGUGGUUCUCAGUGGUAUACAUUUCUGAUUCAUGUGAUAGGUGGAUGAAGGCUGGUUAGCUGUAACUUUACUCUGGUCCAGAAUGGAAUGCUUCUCAAUCCAGAACCCAGCCUGAAGGGACCACUCUGAUGGAGAUAGGUUAUUCUUGUGGCAGAGGGAAAAGAUCAAGAGAUCUCAAAGAAACUCUCACGGCUUCUUAAAGCUUCUUCCCAGAAUCAAUACUCAUCUCUUUCCUUCAUAUUUCAUUGGAUAAAGCAUGUCACAUGGCCAAGUCUGAUACUGACGGAGGUAUAAGUAUACUCUCACUUAAGAUGUGGAGGUAUACUAAGUGUAACAUCAUUUAUUGUACAAACCAGGACAAUGUUGAGAGUGAACCUAUUUUUCAAUAACCAAGCCAGGACAACAGAAACAAAUUGAGACUGUCCUAGCAAACUUGGAUAUACUGUCAGGAUAUACCUUUUUAUAAUCCUCUCCCAAGGGAAAAAAAGGAACAGAUAAUUGAGAAUAACUGAGUUGAUCACAAGCUUUGAUGAAAAGACCUAGCAUCUGCACAUGGAUAUAUACAUUCAUGCUGAGGGAAGCAAGGGAAAAGCAGGCAGGAAGAAAGACUAGUUCAGGUGCAUCAGGAAGUGAGAUAUUAGCCUUAGGCUGUGAGAUUCCUGAAGUAGUGGUCAAGAUAAGGGAUGAUGAACCAAGAGUGGUUCAGUUUAAAUGUCCUGCUUCUCAAAAGGUCAUCAAUAGCAAGAAAAGAAGAGUUUGGGUACCAUUGGCUGAGUCACAUGUCUUGG
rnacentral:lncRNA from 1 species